rnacentral:rRNA from 1 species
GGAUGCGAUCAUACCAGCACUAAAGCAUCGGAUCCCAUCAGAACUCCGAAGUUAAGCGUGCUUGGGCGAGAGUAGUACUAAGAUGGGUGACCUCCUGGGAAGUCCUCGUGUUGCAUUCC